AGUGAACGCUGGCGGUAGGCCUAACACAUGCCAGUCAAACGGCAGCACAGUAAGAGCUUGCUCUUACGGGUGGCGAGUGGCGGACGGGUGAGGAAUACAUCGGAAUCUACUUUUUCGUGGGGGAUAACGUAGGGAAACUUACGCUAAUACCGCAUACGACCUACGGGUGAAAGCAGGGGAUCUUCGGACCUUGCGCGAUUGAAUGAGCCGAUGUCGGAUUAGCUAGUUGGCGGGGUAAAGGCCCACCAAGGCGACGAUCCGUAGCUGGUCUGAGAGGAUGAUCAGCCACACUGGAACUGAGACAAGGUCCAGACUCCUACGGGAGGCAGCAGUGGGGAAUAUUGGACAAUGGGCGCAAGCCUGAUCCAGCCAUACCGCGUGGGUGAAGAAGGCCUUCGGGUUGUAAAGCCCUUUUGUUGGGAAAGAAAAGCAGCAGGUUAAUACCCCGCUGUUCUGACGGUACCCAAAGAAUAAGCACCGGCUAACUUCGUG
rnacentral:rRNA from 1 species